UUUUCUCCUCACAUGGAAGUGCUGCAAUCCGCACUCUUCUAUGAUGUUGUGCCAAACACAUGGACUAAACUAGCAUAUUCAUCCACAUAAUGCUUUACCCACUGUGGUCCAGAUAACUCAACAUCUGGAUACAGACAGGACCUUGCACUUCCAACAGUGGUGUCUUUCUGGAUUCCAUCCUCAGUCCUUUGACAGCUGCAAUGCAGAGCAAGAACAACUGGCCUUUGGAUAAGGUGUGCUUGACUGCAGAUGUUACCAAAAAGACCAAAGAAGAUUAUGACCAUCCACCAAGAGGAGGAGCCUCUAUCUGUGUGCUUUCCAUGGAAGUACUGCACCUAGGAUGACACUGAAUUUUGCAAUGGUUGAAUUGCAAGGAAGAAUGGAAGGUGAGAAGGGCCAAAGAGCAGCAAGACAAAGACAACAGCAGUGGGCGUACAAGAGAGGUUACAAACAGGUACAAAACUCAAGCAAGUUUUACACAGGAGCUGCAUACCCACACACUCAAGACGUGAGCUUGAGCCCCAAGGCUGCUUGGAAGCUGCAACUUGUCUUGAAAUACAGUAAAACUGAAGGAACUACUAAGGACUGAACACAAAUCAGAUUACACAGCAGCAUGAUAAUUAAAGAGAGCUGGUGGCACACUGGACAAUUAAGGAAAAAGCAUAAGGGAACAAUGAGUGUCUCACUUUUCCACACCUAUGUGCACACAUACACAUACUUUCAACAGUUAUGUAGUAAAGUGUAACUAAAAAUAACAUCCCAAACAACUGCAAAAAUUACAUUUAUCAUCCUUAGCAGUUUCUACCUGGCUUUCCAAUCAGUAACUGCAGCAGAUCUGUCAUGCACUAACAAAAAGUAGAAACUCUAUUCUGCAAAUGACACCACAAACCACCUAAAGGGACCAGUUGGUUUUCUGACAUGUUCUGAAUAUAAGGCCACAAAACUUGGGCAUCUGUAACUUUGUUCACACUCUCAUUAAAAAUGCUUGGUUCAGCUCUGGUUUUAAACUUGACCAGCCUAGUCCUACUUGAGGCUAUUUUAGAGGUAAAUGUCUGAGUGCUGAAAGACCUGUAGGGUUUUCCCAGGUCUGUAAGAUUCACUGUAAGAUUUUCCCAGCACAGCACCAACAAGGAUCCCAAAAUUCAAGUAUGCUGAAGCUAAGUACUCUGAUGUAAAUGUCAGAGAACCACUCAUAAGUCUUACCAUGGCU